rnacentral:rRNA from 1 species
CCCUAGUAACUGCGAGUGAAGCGGGAAAAGCUCAAAUUUAAAAUCUGGUGGUCUUUGGCCAUCCGAGUUGUAAUUUAGAGAAGCGUCUUCCGCGCUGGACCGUGCACAAGUCUCCUGGAAUGGAGCGUCGUAGAGGGUGAGAAUCCCGUCUUUGGCAUGGACACACCAGGGCUUUCGUGAUGCGCUCUCGAAGAGUCGAGUUGUUUGGGAAUGCAGCUCAAAAUGGGUGGUGAACUCCAUCUAAAGCUAAAUAUUGGCGAGAGACCGAUAGCGAACAAGUACCGUGAGGGAAAGAUGAAAAGCACUUUGGAAAGAGAGUGAAACAGUACGUGAAAUUGUUGAAAGGGAAACGCUUGAAGUCAGUCGCGUCGACCGAGACUCAGCCUCGCCUCGGCUUGGUGUACUUCUCGGCUGACGGGUCAGCAUCAAUUUUGCCUCUUGGAUAAUGGCGGGGGAAAUGUGACACCUUUACGGUGUGUUAUAGUCUCUCGUCGCAUGCAAGGGUCGGGAUUGAGGAACUCAGCACGCACCUUUGGGUGUCGGGGCUUUGCCCACGAUACGUGCUUAGGAUGUUGGCGUAAUGGCUUUAAACGACCCGUCUUGAAACACGGACCAAGGAGUCUAACAUGCCUGCGAGUGUUCGGGUGGAAAACCCGUGCGCGCAAUGAAAGUGAAAGUUGGGACCUCUGUCGUGGAGGGCACCGACGCCCGGACCAGACCUUCUGUGACGGCUCUGCGGUAGAGCAUGUAUGUUAGGACCCGAAAGAUGGUGAACUAUGCCUGAAUAGGGUGAAGCCAGAGGAAACUCUGGUGGAGGCUCGUAGCGAUUCUGACGUGCAAAUCGAUCGUCAAAUUUGGGUAUAGG